rnacentral:rRNA from 1 species
UCGUCAGCUCGUGUCGUGAGAUGUUGGGUUAAGUCCCGCAGCGAGCGCAACCCUUGCCUUUAGUUGCCAGCAUUAAGUUGGGCACUCUAGAGGGACUGCCGAGGAUAACUCGGAGGAAGGUGGGGAUGACGUCAAAUCAUCAUGCCCCUUAUGCUUAGGGCUACACACGUGCUACAAUGGGUGGUACAGAGGGUUGCCAAACCGUGAGGUGGAGCUAAUCCCUUAAAGCCAUUCUCAGUUCGGAUUGUAGGCUGAAACUCGCCUACAUGAAGCUGGAGUUACUAGUAAUCGCAGAUCAGAAUGCUGCGGUGAAUGCGUUCCCGGGUCUUGUACACACCGCCCGUCACACCAUGGGAGUUGGGGGCGCCCGAAGCCGGUUAGCUAACCUUUUAGGAGGCAACCGUCGAAGGUGAAACCAAUGACUGGGGUGAAGUCGUAACAAGGUAGCCGUA